CCUACGGGAGGCAGCAGUGAGGAAUAUUGGACAAUGGAGGCAACUCUGAUCCAGCCAUGCCGCGUGCAGGAAGACUGCCCUAUGGUUGUAAACUGCUUUUAUACAGGAAGAAACACUCCCUCGUGAGGGGGCUUGACGGUACUGUACGAAUAAGGAUCGGCUAACUCCGUGCCAGCAGCCGCGGUAAU
rnacentral:rRNA from 1 species